AAAAAGACACCUUUGUGUCUCAUUUUUUGACUUCUAGCUUUUAGAUUGAAACAUUUGGGUGGGGCCCUCUCAUUCUGUACCUGACAACUAGGCAAAUCCACUCCAAAAAGAUGGUGUUGAAGAAGGCUUGUGAUCCUGAGGAAAGGCAGGCAGAACUGCUGCAGAUCGCGCUCUACAGAAUCUGGAUUUACCUACAGGGCAGGAAGCAAUUACUAAAUUCUGUCCCAGGUUGCCUGCUUUUCCAGGAAAGGAGUCCAUCAGAGCAACCACCACGGUUUAUCCAGGAAGGCUUCAAUUUCACAGGAAGGAAAGCUGCACUUACUCAAAAUCAUUGCAACAAAGUCAAGAUUGAAAGGAUAGAGAUACAGACUUAAAUCUGAAAGUCAGUUUUGGAACUAUAUUCAUUGAGAAGCUUUUACGUCUCAUCACAUACCGAAACUUGCAAAAAUUGCACACCCAGAAACAAAACAGUGGACUUCUGUGAAGCAGAAACAAAUUAUUACAUGGAAAGCAGAAGCACCUGUUACAUUCCUACCAGAAAUACAUAAGCAAAAUUUCGUAAAUGUUUUAAUAAACUAACCAACCUUU